UGGACAUUUAUUGUAUUCAGUUUCUUCGCAAGGUGAAGAUAACUCUUUGUAAAUGUCCUAGAAUAAAAUAGUAGCUUUCUGUUCACCUUUUGCAAGUGAAAAAGGUGGAUCGUUCCACUGCUGACAUUU
rnacentral:snoRNA from 13 species